GGAACAGCUGAGGGAACUUGGGGUGUUCAGUCUGGAGAGUAGGCAGCUCAGAGGACAUCUUACAGUUCUCUGCAACUACUUGAAAGGAGGUUGGGGUGAUGUGGGUGUUAGUCUCUUCUCCCAAGUAAACAAGUGACAGAACAAGAGGAAAUGACCUCAAGUUGCUCCAGGGAGGUUUAGAUGGGAUAUCAGGAAAAAUUUCUUCACCAGACGAGUUGUCAGGCACUGGAACAGGCUGCCCAGGGAAGUGGUUGGGUCAACAUCCCUGGAGGUAUUUAAAAGAUACAUAGGCACUUGGGGACAUGGUUUAGUGGUGGACUUGGCAGUGUUAACUGUUGCCCUCAAUCUUAAAGAUCUUUUCCAACAAAUGAUUCUGUGGUUCUCUUCUAUUGCUGGUCCCGUGUUUUGUAUCUGCCAUAGAAGGGAUGCCCAACCAAAACCAUGUAAUUGAAGUGUCUUUGAAUGUUCUUUCUCCUGUGUGCUAAGUGUUUAAAAGGGAGCUGCAGAAGUUUUAAAUAGUUUAUAGGAGCAGUAAGAAUGGUGACAUUUUAUCUCAAAUUUUUAUAGGAUUUCUUGAGGACAGUGGGGAGGCUGAGAAUUCUGGCCCAACAGUGGCCAGUGGGAAGAGGCAGAGAAUUUGGAACGUGUGCAUUAAUGCUUCCCAUGAAUACGCCCAGCAUCCAGUGAUUCAUGAUUCAGAUGCUUGCUGAGUGAAAAGUAGUAUUUAUUUUUACUGACAUUGAAGGGUUUUUCAUUUUUAAUAGAAACAAUCUCACAGUAAUGUUGGUAUCUUACGAAUUUACUGCAAAAACGACAUUUGGGAAAAGUUGUAUGUAGUUAAGCAAGCCACCUUUUCAGGUGGAAGAAGCUACUAGCUGCUCACAAAAUGUAGAAAGUCAGAUGUCAUUUGAAGGAAUUCUGCCAAGCAUGGUGUAACAAGGUAAGCUUUGGCACUUUAAGAAGAAAGCUUCAUAUCAAUUUAAGAAGCUAAAUGAGUUAAAUGGUUAACCAUUUUUCUCAUUAAUUCGUCUAGCUUAACUUUCUAAUACAGAGAUAGCAAAGUACCUCAGCGUUUUUGAUCAGAGUACCUUGUUUCCUGAGGAACUAUAUAAAAAGAGACGCUAAAAGUAACCGAAAGUAGGCAUUUCAUAUCCCCACCUCCUUUAGAUAUUUGUCUGCUUAUUUCUUUUCUGUCUUUGCAUAUAGAUGCGGUGUCUGUAAGCCAUUUUCUAGUGAUAGGUUACUGGACAACACUACUUGUCUAGUCUUGCUUCAUCUUCUGCCCAAAGAGUGGGUGUUGUGGUAGACAAGUUUUUGCAGAAUUAAGUUUCCUGUAGAGACAGGACACCACAUAAUGCUGGUUUCCAAAGAGUAUCCUGAAAUUGUUCCAUCUAAACUGUUUGUGGAUGAAUUGUCUUCCAUUUGACUGUACAAAACUAGUUACUGUUGGAAACAAAAAAGCAAACAGAAGCAUUGACCUAUCCAACUUGAUGCGGAUUUCAAGUACCAAGGAUUGACUCACUUACUGGGUAAUUAGUCUUGUCAGUCAAACCUUUCCAUGGACUACUUGUAAAAGUAUUGAUGGCCCUUAGUUUUUCUUUGCUUUGCAGGCUAAACCAUUAUAAUUGAAUCAUAAAUGCUCUGUUUUAAUUUGUUUUUAAUAUUUUGAGGCACACAUGGUGGUUCAAAUAGUAUAUCAAAUUGUGUUUGUGCCAUUACUGUUGAAACACAAUUGGAUUUACUUAGAUAAUAUUUUUUCCAGAAAACACCACUGUGAUGUCGUGCAUACUACUGGUCCAUUGUAGCCACGAAGACCAAUGGAUGGACAAAAAGUUACAUAUCAAACUCCCAGCAAUUUUUGCCACAAAUUCACGCAGGUUUAACCAGCUAGAAUUACUAAGAAACCAUGAUCUUGUUCUGCAGUAGUGACUGAGCAUUCUUUCCAGGGGUAGCUCAGUUUCCAUCCCCAGAUAGUUACUGCAGUAGACACCUGGGAUUUAAUUUCCUCUUUCUUUCUGCAAGUAAGAUAUCUGUGGCAUUCUGUUCUAUGAUUAGUUCUGUAACUUGGUGAGAAAUACUUUAUCAGCUGCAAGUGAAGAGUAAGAUGUGUGUUAUCAGGGAGGACCAGAAAGCUCUCAGCACCCAUCCUGAGGAAAGAGUAUAAAUAAUUGUGGAUUCCAAAGUCCUGAAUAAACUCUGGAGGAAAAAGGUUAAGAAAAAUGAGGGGGAAAGGCUGCAAGGAUAUGCCCAAUGAAUAAGGCACUGUGCUACUGAGACUAUGAUGUCUCUGCAUUGCCAGAACAUCUUUGUUGCUUGCUGUAAGCUAAAGACACUAAAGGACAAAAAUUACUGGAAAUUUGUGGAUGAUUCUAGUCUCCAAUUUCCCACAUACAGAAAACUCAUUUUAUGUAUUACCACAUAUGAGAAGUGAAAGUACUUCCUACAGUGGACUUGGCUAUGUGCUUAUCUGUAGCGGUCCUGUCCAGAUGACCAUUGUACACUGAGGAUUAGUGAUCCAUCUAAAUCAGGCUGUGCCUACACAACCUUGUGCUAUACUGCGCUGGCAGUCCAGCCUCGCCUCCUGGUCCACCUGGGACUGUGUAUGCCUCAUGGCUAUGGGGUAAAUUGAUGUGGUUGAUUGUACCAGAGGAGCCUGCAGGCAGCUCCUGCUCUGUACCUGUGAUUACACCCGCUGUGUGGUCUGCCCAUUAUCUGAAAAUGCAGCAAGAGGUUGACAUGUGAACAUCCUUUCUGUUUGGUACUAGAAACAACGUAUAGAGUUGUUUUCUUGUAAGAAAACCCUGUAUUAGUUUAAAUGACCAAAAUGGUGGAACUUUACCUUGGGCAGGGCCUGUGUGACAUGCUGCACCUUGAUCAGAGAUGUCGGUGAUGCUGCUGAGGCUUCCCAGCACCGGAAGAAAUGUAAGAUUAUCUCUACUGUCUUCUCUAUUUUAGUCUUAGCUCAAAUAAAUGGUAUUUUAUGUGAUACUUGAGAGUCUGAGUGUAUUUCUUACUGGGAUUGUAACGAACCAGCACCACCUUGUGCAAAACAAUCAUCUUGUGUACCUGCCAGAAGUAUGCCACUUGCAGUGUUCUGUUUUUGUUCUGAUGAUGCGGUUAAAUGAAGGCUAAAACUGGACAAAAGUGAGUAUCUUUGUUUUUUUGUUUGUUAUGUAUCUUGAAUGCAGGAUCUUAAUGGUUUGGCUUAAAAUCCAGGAGAAUGAAACCUUACCUUGACC